AUGCGCUACGAGGCCAUGCUCCAACGCAACGCGGAGGCGCUCCGGCUCGAGGAGGAGGAGAAGGAGUGUGCGCGGCUUGCCGCAAUGCCGCCGCCCCAGCAGACGCCGGAGGAGGCUGCCCUGGCAGCGUACCAGGCGGCGUUCGGAUGGGCUGGCCCUGCUCCGGUCUUCAUCGACCUCACCGACGAUGGCGCGUACGCCGGCAAGGGCAAGAGCAAGGCCGACGACGUCUAA
rnacentral:rRNA from 1 species